AGAAGCUGGCAACUACUCAGUUCACUUUGAGCAACCGAUAGACCAAGAAAAUUCAAUCAGCAUAAUAGAAGAUUUUUCAGAAAUACAAACUGUUAAAACACCAUGUCAAAAACGAGGACGAGGUCGCCCUAGAGGAUCGAAAAAAGCUCAAUUGUAGCACAAUAAAAUAUAGAUUCUCUAUUAUUUUCAAUAAAUUAUGGCCACUUUAAGUGGAAAUUUCAUAUGUUCAAAUUA